rnacentral:rRNA from 1 species
CCGUCCUACGGGACGCAGCAGUGGGGAAUAUUGCACAAUGGGGGGAACCCUGAUGCAGCAAUGCCGCGUGGGUGAAGAAGCACUCCGGUGCGUAAAGCCCUGUCAGCAGGGAAGAAAAUGACAGUACCUGGACAAGAAGCCCCGGCUAACUACGUGCCAGCAGCCGCGGUAAUACGUAGGGGGCAAGCGUUAUCCGGAUUUACUGGGUGUAAAGGGAGCGAAGACGGCUGUGCAAGUCUGGAGUGAAAGGCAUGGGCUCAACCUGUGGACUGCUUUGGAAACUGUGCGGCUUGAGUGUCGGAGCG